rnacentral:rRNA from 1 species
UACGAAGGGGGCGAGCGUUGUUCGGAAUCACUGGGCGUAAAGGGCGCGUAGGCGGCUUUAUAAGUCGGGGGUGAAAGCCUGUGGCUCAACCACAGAAUUGCCUUCGAUACUGUAGAGCUUGAGACCGGAAGAGGUAAGUGGAACUGCGAGUGUAGAGGUGAAAUUCGUAGAUAUUCGCAAGAACACCAGUGGCGAAGGCGGCUUACUGGUCCGGUUCUGACGCUGAGGCGCGAAAGCGUGGGGAGCAAACAGG